AAACCCGAGACGAUAUGGGAUAAAAAUAGCACACAAGAGAGAGAGAGAGAGAGAGAGAGAGAGAGAGAGAGAGAGAGAGAGAGAGAGAGAGAGAGAGGCGAGUGGGAAUUCAUUAGCCGUGGUUAAAUAGGCUGUAUCUAUGUGACACGUGUAACAAAGAGUAGAGUUGCAAGCCGAACCAGUGGAGGGCGGUGUUCGGCCUUUCCGAGCGAACGUGAUAUGGUUACUGAGGAAGGCACGAACGGGGCAGCAUCAGGAGAGAGAUAAGACGAAGGAGGAGGAGGAGGAGGAGGAGGAGGGGGAGAUAUGGAGACGUUUAGAAACAGUGAAGGUAAGGGUGUACAAAUUAUAGGUCACGGGGAAGAAAGGGAAUUAUAAGAAGAAAAGAUAAAAGAGGUGGAGAGAGAGAAAUAAGAUGAAGAAGAAGAAGAAGGAGGAGGAGGAGAAGGAGGAAAAAGAUAUGGAGCUUUUGGAACAGGGAAUUUGAUGUUUUACAAAUAAUUGGUCAUUGGGAAGAAAGGGAAUCAUAAGAAGAAAAGAUAAAAGAGGCAGAGAGAGAGAAAUAAGAUGAAGAAGAAGAAGAAGGAAGAGGAGGAGGAACAUAGGGAUAGCUUUUGGAACAGGGAAUUUGAUGUUGUACAAAUAAUUAGUCAUGAGGAAGAAAGGAAAUUAUAAGAAGAAAAGAUAAAAGAGGUGGAGAGAGAGAAAUAAGAUGAAGAAGAAGAAGAAGGAGGAGGAGGAGGAGGAAAAAGAUAUGGAGCUUUUGGAACAGGGAAUUUGAUGUUGUACAAAUAAUUGGUCAUUGGGAAGAAAAGAAAUUAUAAGAAGAAAAGAUAAAAGAGGUGGAGAGAGAGAAAUAAGAAGAAGAAGAAGAAGGAGGAGGAGAAGGAGGAGGAGGAAAACAGGGAUAGCUUUUGGAAUAGGGAAGGUGAUGUUCUAUAAAUAAUUGGUCAUGAGGAAGAAAGAGAAUUAGAAGAGGAGGACUAAAAGGUAAAAGGUUUUAGAAUUUAGGAGCAAGAGAGAGAGAGAGAGAGAGAGAGAGAGAGAGAGAGAGAGAGAGAGAGAGAGAUAGGGAAGGCGAUAGUGUACAAGAAAUAGAUCAUAAAGAGGAAAAAGAAGGAAAAGGAAAGAGAAUGAGAAGAAAGAUGAUUAAAGAAGAGAAAGAAGAGAAAGAGUUAGAGGUGUAAGAAUGUGAUAUAGGUGUUAAUGUACAAGUGAAAGUUAAUGAAGAAGAAAGAAAAUUAAAGAAGAGAAAGCAUCGAAGGACUCAGGAAUGCGGAAGGUGUUAGACUCUACAAAUAAGAGAUCGCGAAGUAGAAAAAUGAGAAGAGAAAGAAGAGGAAGAAGAAAAUUACCUGUUUGGGAUGAUGUAAGAGGCCGUGACGACGUAAGAGAGGAAGGAAAAGAUGGAAGAGGAAUAAAAAGAGUCGGAAGAGGAUGACUCAGGCAAAUGGAAUGGAUAGUGAUAUAAGAGGUCGUAAGGAUACAUGAGGAAGAGGAAGAAGAAAAGGAAGAUUUAGAUUUCAGCAUAGGAAGUAGGGGUUAAAUUAGACUUCGGAAAUGGGAUAGAUAAUGAGAUAAGAGAUCCUAAUGGCGUGAAGGAAGAGGAAGGAAAGGAUUUAGAUUUCAGAAUAGGAAGUAGGGGUUAAAUUAGACUUCGGAAAUGGGACAGAUAAUGAGAUAAGAGAUCCUAGGCGUGAAGGAAGAGGAAAAGGAGGAUUUAGAUUUCAGAAGAGUAGAAAGGGGAUAAGGAGAGAAGUAAGGAAGAGGAGGAACAAGAGGAAAAAUUAAACUUCAAGAAUGGAAUAGACAAUGAUUUAAGAGGACACCAUGACAGAGGAGGAAGAGGAAGAGGAAAAUUCAGACUUAAGAAGAGGAGAAAGAAAGAGAGAUUUAGACUGCAAGGAGGAAAAGGAGUAAGGAAGAAGAGGAGCAAGAGGAAAACAUGGACUUCACGAAUGGGAUAGGAAAUUAUAUAAGAGGAAGAGAAAGAUACAUAAGAAAAAGAAAAAGAAAAAGAAAACGGAAAAGAAGAUAAAGAGGAGAAACAAGAUCAUUUAAGGUUCAGUGAGGAAGUAGAGUAGGGUAAGGAAAAGAAGAUGAACAUAUGGGAUAUACAUAAUAAAGUAAGUGGGCGUAUGAAGAACGUAGAAGGAAGAGUAAGAGGAAGAUGACUCAGGCUUAAGAAAUGAGCAUGAUGGUGGUGAUGGUGAUGACGGUAGGGGAGGUGGCGGCGGGGGCGUAAGAAAUGGCUCUCAUGAAAAUACUUGCCUGAUUAUUUCGACUCCUCGGCUUGGCACUGCCCUCCUUUGUCUCAUGGUUUUCAGGGAACUCGCGUGUGUGGGAAAAUCUUUGCCCUGAGUGGCGGCUACGGGCUAUUUCUUGGUAGGAGUGAAUGGUAUGUGUGGUCUAGGGUUUCUUGAGUACGUGGAGUGCAUGUCAAGUGGCUGACUGUAAAUGAAAUGAGGAAAUGGGUCGGACACGUGUAGGAGAGACGAUGAGAGGAGGAGGAAGAAGGAAAGGAGCUACGGAGAGGGGGGCAUUAGAAGCAACAGGAAAAUUGAAAUGUGAGGAAAGAGGAAAAAAUAAAAAGGGCCGUGCACGUGUAGGAGAGACGAUGAGAGGAGGAGGAAGAAGGAAAGGAGCUACGGAGAGAGGGGCAUUAGAAGCAACAGGAAAAUUAAGACGUGAGGAAAGAGGAAGAAAUAAAAAGGGCCGUGCACGUUUUAGAAGAGACGAUGAAAAAAACGAUUAAGAAAAUGAAGAGUUACGAAGAAAAGGAACAUUAGAUACAACACGAUAAAGAAGAUGUGAAGAAGGAGGAAGAAAUAAAAAGGGCCCUGCACGUUUUAGAAGAGACAAUGAAAAAAACGAUUAAGAAAAUGAAGAGUUACGAAGAAAAGGAACAUUAGAUACAACACGAUAAAGAAGAUGUGAAGAAGGAGGAAGAAAUAAAAAGGGCCGUGCACGUUUUAGAAGAGACGAUGAAAAAAACGAUUAAGAAAAUGAAGAGUUACGAAGAAAAGGAACACUAGAUACGACACGAUAAAGAAGAUGUGAAGAAGGAGGAAAA